ACUCAUUCAACCCAAUUCCUCGGCCUUACAGCUUCAUCAGCAGCAUGGAAGCUUACCAAUUAUGGCGAAGGAAUGAUCAUCGGUGUCAUCGAUUCUGGGGUCUGGCCAGAGAGCAAGAGCUACAACGACCAAGGGAUGCCUCCUGUGCCUGCAAGAUGGAGAGGAGAAUGCGAAACAGGAACCCAAUUCAACACAUCUUUGUGCAAUAACAAACUCAUCGGCGCUCUAUCCUUUAAACAAGGUCUCAUUGCUAGAAACAUAACCGUGGGGAUGAACUCACCUCGAGACACAGGCGGCCACGGCACCCACACCUCUAGCACCGCCGCUGGUAACUUCGUCGACGGCGCCUCUUACUUCGGCUACGCUCCGGGGACUCUCAAGGGAGUGGCUCCCAAGGCUCACGUCGCCAUAUACAAGACCCUAUUUGA
rnacentral:lncRNA from 1 species